AGUGAACGCUGGCGGUAGGCCUAACACAUGCAAGUCGAACGGCAGCACAGUAAGAGCUUGCUCUUACGGGUGGCGAGUGGCGGACGGGUGAGGAAUAAAUCGGAAUCUACUUUUUCGUGGGGGGUAACGUAGGGAAACUUACGCUAAUACCGCAUACGACCUACGGGUGAAAGCAGGGGAUCUUCGGACCUUGCGCGAUUGAAUGAGCCGAUGUCGGAUUAGCUAGUUGGCGGGGUAAAGGCCCACCAAGGCGACGAUCCGUAGCUGGUCUGAGAGGAUGAUCAGCCACACUGGAACUGAGACACGGUCCAGACUCCUACGGGAGGCAGCAGUGGGGAAUAUUGGACAAUGGGCGCAAGCCUGAUCCAGCCAUACCGCGUGGGUGAAGAAGGCCUUCGGGUUGUAAAGCCCUUUUGUUGGGAAAGAAAAGCAGCAGGUUAAUACCCCGCUGUUCUGACGGUACCCAAAGAAUAAGCACCGGCUAACUUCGUG
rnacentral:rRNA from 1 species